UGCAGUCGAGCGGACCUCUUCGGAGGUCAGCGGCGGACGGGUGAGUAACACGUGGGCAACCUGCCUGUAAGACUGGGAUAACUCCGGGAAACCGGAGCUAAUACCGGAUACUAUGUCAAACCGCAUGGUUUGACAUUCAAAGACGGUUUCGGCUGUCACUUACAGAUGGGCCCGCGGCGCAUUAGCUAGUUGGUGAGGUAACGGCUCACCAAGGCGACGAUGCGUAGCCGACCUGAGAGGGUGAUCGGCCACACUGGGACUGAGACACGGCCCAGACUCCUACGGGAGGCAGCAGUAGGGAAUCUUCCGCAAUGGACGAAAGUCUGACGGAGCAACGCCGCGUGAGUGAUGAAGGUUUUCGGAUCGUAAAACUCUGUUGUCAGGGAAGAACAAGUGCCGGAGUAACUGCCGGCGCCUUGACGGUACCUGACCAGAAAGCCACGGCUAACUACGUGCCAGCAGCCGCGGUAAUACGUAGGUGGCAAGCGUUGUCCGGAAUUAUUGGGCGUAAAGCGCGCGCAGGCGGUUUCUUAAGUCUGAUGUGAAAGCCCCCGGCUCAACCGGGGAGGGUCAUUGGAAACUGGGAAACUUGAGUGCAGAAGAGGAGAGUGGAAUUCCACGUGUAGCGGUGAAAUGCGUAGAGAUGUGGAGGAACACCAGUGGCGAAGGCGACUCUCUGGUCUGU
rnacentral:rRNA from 2 species